CAGAGACUGCAAGCGUUAUUCGGAUUCACUGGGCGUAAAGGGUGCGCAGGCGGCCAAGUGUGUGAGGCGUGAAAGCCUGGGGCUUAACCCCAGAAUUGCACCUCAAACUACUUGGCUAGAGCAUUGGAGAGGGUAGCAGAAUUCAUGGUGUAGCAGUGAAAUGCGCAGAUAUCAUGAGGAAUACCAGAGGCAAAGGCGGCUACCUGGACAAUUGCUGACGCUCAGGCACGAAAGCGUGGGGAGCAAAAGGGAUUAGAUACCCCUGUAGUCCACGCCCUAAACGGUGCACACUAGGUCUUGGCGGAUUCGACCCCACCAGGGCCCAAGCUAACGCGUUAAGUGUGCCGCCUGAGGACUACGGCCGCAAGGCUA
rnacentral:rRNA from 1 species